GAUAGAAGAACGUAGCGAAAUGCGAUAAGUAAUGUGAAUUGCAGAAUUCAGUGAAUCAUCGAAUCUUUGAACGCACAUUGCGCCCGUCAGUAUUCUGGCGGGCAUGCCUGUUCGAGCGUCAUUACGCCCCUCAAGUCCCCUGUGGACUUGGUGUUGGGGAUCGGCGAGGCUGGUUUUCCAGCACAGCCGUCCCUUAAAUUAAUUGGCGGUCUCGCCGUGGCCCUCCUCUGCGCAGUAGUAAAACACUCGCAACAGGAGCCCGGCGCGGUCCACUGCCGUAAAACCCCCCAACUUUUUAUAGUUGACCUCGAAUCAGGUAGGACUACCCGCUGAACUUAAGCAUAUCAAUAAGCGGAGGA
rnacentral:misc_RNA from 1 species